GCCGGUGUAGCUCAAUUGGCAGAGCACUCGCCUUGUAAGCGAAAGGUUACGGGUUCGAGUCCCGUCACCGGCUCCA
rnacentral:tRNA from 1 species